rnacentral:lncRNA from 1 species
GUAGGCAAGUAGUUGGACAAAAAGCAAGAAGCUGAUCGAUGUUGCUGGCUUUGGAUUCUUUGUGAACAAAUGAGACAAGGCUGCAAAUUCAGAGGAUCCUCCCAGAAGAUAAGAUGGAGCAGGUCACCACCUUCUUCCCUGCUUCACACCCUCAGGCCCCGACUCUUGUCUGCUGAGAUCACUCUCCAAACCAAUCUUCCCUUACAAAGCCCUUGUUGCAGGCUAUGCUUUCUGAGGGGAACCCAGGCCAAGACACUAAAAUGACACACCAACAUGAAGACAUGAACACAAUUGCAAAGGGAUUGGUUGGAUUGCAUAUCUCUGUGAAUGGGACUCAAGAGAAGUUUGGGAAAUGCUGGACCAGAUGACCCUUGCAAUCAUGGUGCACAGAAUUAAAACCGUCAAGUUCCCCAUCCAUCUCUGAGAUGGAUGAGAAUCUGAGUCUUCCACAAGAUGCCCAAGACUUGUUAAACCCGUGGAAUGUCUUUGGGUAUGUGUGACAUCAACAAGAAGCAGCAGACAAAACAAAAUAUUUUCACAAACAUUCAGAAAUCCCUAAAUCUUCCCCUUUUGUCUAAAAUAGUGAUGUACAUUAAAUGCAAAGGGCAAAUGGAACCAUUGAAAAGUACUUUUUGCAUCCAAAACAGCCAACGCUUUGGUGCCUGCUAUGUGUCAGACACUGAUUCUUCUGUCAUCCUUAUUCUACUGAUGAGGCAACUGAGGCAGCUUCAGAGAGUUCGAGUAACCUGCGGAUCACACAACUAGGAAGUAAGAGAGCUGGAACUUGACGUUGGGCUGUUGACCUCCAGAAAUGGUGUUUUUUCCAGUACUCAGUGCUGCCUCUGACUCCAUUGUGAUGGUUG